rnacentral:rRNA from 1 species
UCCCUAUGGGGUGCAGCAGGCGCGAAACCUCCACAAUGCGCGAAAGCGUGAUGGGGUUAGCCCGAGUGCUAUCCGAAAAGGAUGGCUUUUCCUUGGUGUAAAAACCCAUGGGAAUAAAGGGGGGGCAAGACUGGUGUCAGCCGCCGCGGUAAUACCAGCUCCCUGAGUGGUAAGGACGAUUAUUUGGCUUAAAGCGUCCGUAGCCGGCUUAGUGAGUCUUUUGUUAAAUCCAAUGAUUUAAUCAUUGAACUGCAAGAGAUACUGCUAUGCUAGAGGACGGGAGAGGUCGACGGUACUUUCGGGGUAGGGGUGAAAUCCUAUAAUCCCGGGAGGACCACCAGUGGCGAAGGCUGUCGACUAGAACGCGCUCGACGGUGAGGGACGAAAGCUGGGGGAGCGAACCGGAUUAGAUACCCGGGUAGUCCCAGCUGUAAACGAUGCAGGCUAGGUGUUGGCGCGGCUACGUGCCGCUCCAGUGCCGCAGGGAAGCCGUUAAGCCUGCCGCCUGGGAAGUACGGCCGCAAGGCUGAAACUUAAAGGAAUUGGCGGGGGAGCACCACAAGGUGUGAAGCUUGCGGUUUAAUUGGAUUCAACGCCGGAA